UACGUAGGGGGCUAGCGUUGUCCGGAAUCAUUGGGCGUAAGGCGCGCGUAGGCGGCCCGGUAAGUCCGCUGUAAAAGUCAAAGGCUCAACCUUUGAAUGUCAGUGGAUACUGCCGGGCUAGAGUCCGGAAGAGGCGAGUGGAACUCCUGGUGUAGCGGUGGAAUGCGCAGAUAUCAGGAAGAACACCGACGGCGAAGGCAGCUCGCUGGGACGGUACUGACGCUGAGGCACGAAAGCGUGGGGAGCAAACAGG
rnacentral:rRNA from 1 species